UCUGCUUGCCAUAGGGCUUUGAUAUGGGGGGUGGGACUGAGAAGUCUCUGAAUAUUUAUUUUGAAACAGCUUGGAAAAUUUGCUGGCUUAAAAAAAAAAACACUAUCUAAAAAGUCCUAUAAGUGGCUUGUUUCAUGGCAGAAAAUUACAAAAACUAUUGGUUACAAUAUACAAAUUACAAAAACAGUAUUAUAUUUAUUUUAUUCAUUCAUUCAUUCAUUCAUAAAUACACUUAUGUUCAAGUUGUUUUGCAACCCAGAAGGUCUGAGAGAGAACUGUGAAGCAUGUGUGGUGCUUUUAUUUGAUUUUUCUUGUGUGUGAACUGCUCCCCAAUAACUCGCAGGGACUGCAGGGUAAAUCUGGCCAUGUGAAUGCAGCACCUCCAUUCCAGAGGAGAUGUGUCUUAAAGGGCUUUAAAAACCUCCUGUGAAAAACCUCCUGGAAUCAAACUUGACUGAAUUUGUUCAGAAUUCUGAGAAAACAAACAUAGGCUCACACUGCAUGGUUGAAAGUCUCCUUUGCUAAUCUACAUAAAGUUUAUGUAGUGCAAAUGGAGUAUACAUUUGGACUAUGGACAACAUAUUCUCCAUUAAUGACUAUGUUUAAUAUCUUGUAUUGUUAUUAGUGGUCACUAAGAGUUGACACCAACUUGAUGGCAAUCAAUCAAUCAAUCAUAGUUAUUAGAAAUGCAGAUAAAUAUGCCUUACAAUUACUGUCCUUUACCCACAGGUGUAUGUGGACAUACACAUGCUUUCAGGAUGUACAAACUUACAUUGCAGUGUAGAAAUGUAUUUGCCACAUACUUUGCUCAUACGGUUUUCACUGUUGUAGUAUUGGAUAUGUAAUGUGUGGUAUGUAAAGUGUGCCGUCGAGGUGGUGUCGACUCCUGGUGACCACAGAGCCCCGUGGUUUUAUUUUGGUAGAAUACAGGAGGGGUUUACCAUUGCCUCCUCCCACGUAGUAUGAGAUGAUGCCUUCCUAUAUAGCACCUUCCUAUAUCGCUGCUGCCCAAUAUAGGUGUUUUCCAUAGUCUUGGAAACAGUGGGAUAUGAAUCGGCAACCUCAUGCUUGCUAGGCAAGUCAUUUCCCCGCUGCGCCAUUAGGUGAUACCUUGUAUAUUAUUUAGAGAAAAAAAGUAUCUAUUGAACAAUGAAUGUACCCACAUUUAUUUUCCACUAUUCACAUCAUCAGGUAGUCUGUGAUAACUAGCAUGCUGAAAUUAUGUUGUUAGUACCUUUUAAAAAAAUUAUUAUUAUUACAUUUUAUAUCCUGUUCUUCCUCCAAGCAGCCCAGAGCAGUGUACUACAUACUUAGGUUUCUCCUCACAACAACCCUGUGAAGUAGGUUAGGCUGAGAGAGAAGUGACUGGCCCAGAGUCACCCAGCUAGUCUCAUGGCUGAAUGGGGAUUUGAACUCCAGUCGACGCAGUCCUAGUCCAGCACUCUAACCAUUACACCACGCUGGCUGGCAAUGUGAUAUUGAGUAGUCAGUGGUGGAACAUGUACUUAUUGUGAUGGGGAGCUGCAGAAGUACUACAGUUCAUAUAAAAAGUUAAGAUGAGUCCCCGCCCCCCACAGGAAUUGGGAAGGUAUUUACAGAGACCAUCAUUCUGCAGUAUUACGGCUACAAGUUUUUCGUUUUGCUGAACACAUAAUGGAACAAUAGUUUAAAAUAUUGUUGUGCAAUGAAAUCUGCAGGAGGUGGCAGCAAGCUGACAUGGUGUUCUGUUUUCACAAUGCGGAUAGUUAUGAAACCAAAAGAUAAUACUGAAGAAUUGCACUUGAAUGCUGAACAUUCUGAGACCUGUGGAUUCCUCUCUUUGCCCUAUGACAUGUGACAAAGACAACUGGGGACGAUUAUUAUCAUUUCUAGUGCUGCAUGUUCCCUGACCUUUUUUCAUUAAUUGCAACCUUUUCAUUUGAAAUUACUUCUCAUUUCACUUCCGCCAAAUAAACAUGCAAUAUUUUCACUCUAA